CGUAGCCGAUGGACAGCAGGUUGAGAUUCCUGCCCCGCCGCGGAGCCGUUACUACCGAAGGGGUGACGCAGCAAGCUAGGCGGAUCCGGGUGAUGGAAGUCCCGGACCAAGGGAGCAGACAUGCCGCGCAGGCAAACCCGCGCGGCCGAGUUCAGACCCGAGCGGGAGCCUUUGUGAUGAAGGCGAAGCCGCCGACGCUAUACUGCCGAGAAAAGCCUCUAGGGAGGACCCGCGGCGCCCGUACCGCAGACCGACACAGGUGGGCAGGCUUAGGAGGCCAAGGUGAGCGGGAUAACUCUCGUCAAGGAACUCUGCAAGUUGACCCCGUAGCCUAGGGAGAAGGGGUGCCGCCCGCGUGAAGUCUGUACAGAUGUAAGCGUGGAGCGGCCGCAGAAACCAGGCUCAGGCGACUGUUUACUAAAAACACAGGUCUCUGCAUAAGGCGCAAGCCGAAGUAUAGGGACUGACACCUGCCCGGUGCCGGAAGGUUAAAUGGAGAGGUCAGCGCAGCGAUGCGCGAAGCUUUGAGAUGAAGCCCCGGUAAACGGCGGCCGUAACUAUAACGGUCCUAAGGUAGCGAAAUUCCUUGUCGGGUAAGUUCCGACCCGCACGAAUGGUGUAACGAUCUGAGCGCUGUCUCGACGAGAGCCCCGGUGAAAUUGUGGUCCCGGUCAAGACGCCGGGUACCCGUGGCUGGACGGAAAGACCCCAUGGAGCUUUACUGUAACCUGGCACUGGAUUUUGUCCUGUCAUGCACAGAAUAGGCGGGAGACAGAGAAGCGAGGGCUUUGGCCCUUGUGGAGUCGCCUUUGGGAUACCGCCCUUGACAUGACGGAGUUCUAACCCUUGAGUCUGAAUCGGCUGAGGGGACCCUGCCAGGCGGGCAGUUUGACUGGGGCGGUCGCCUCCCAAAGAGUAACGGAGGCGCGCGAAGGUUGCCUCGGGGCGAAUGGAAACCGCCCUUUAAGAGCGCAAGCGUAUAAGGCAGCCUGACUGAGAGACCGACGGGUCGAUCAGGGACGAAAGUCGGUGCUAGUGAUCCGGCGGUGCAGAAUGGAAUGGCCGUCGCUCAACGGAUAAAAGCUACCCUGGGGAUAACAGGCUGAUCUUGCCCGAGAGUUCCCAUCGACGGCAAGGUUUGGCACCUCGAUGUCGGCUCGUCGCAUCCUGGGGCUGAAGCAGGUCCCAAGGGUUGGUCUGUUCGCCCAUUAAAGCGGUACGUGAGCUGGGUUUAGAACGUCGUGAGACAGUUCGGUCCCUAUCCGCCACGGGCGCAGGGUAUUUGAGGAGAUCUGCUUCUAGUACGAGAGGACCGAAGUGGACGAACCGCUGGUGUACCGGUUGUGACGCCAGUUGCAUACGCCGGGUAGCUAUGUUCGGACCGGAUAACCGCUGAAGGCAUCUAAGCGGGAAGCCGUCUUCAAGAUAAGAUACCCCGUUUCGUAAGGAAGUAAGGCGUCCCGUAGACUACGGGUUUGAUAGGCCGGAGGUGUAAGCGCAGCGAUGCGUUGAGCUGACCGGUACUAAU
rnacentral:rRNA from 1 species